CCACCCCAUUGUAGCCCAAUCAAAAUGAGCUUUCUUCUCUAUUGCUGCUGCAUUUUUCUGAAUGAAUUUCUUAUUGUCAUUAUGUUUUCUUCCCUUUCAAUUUCAUUUUUCAGUAAUCAUAGUUUUAAUGGGUUUAUAACUAUAGCCUCUUAUGCAAUUUUAGUUUGCUACAGUGGAAGUUAUAAAUUACCCUAUAAUUAUUUUCCAUUCUCAACUUAGUCAGCUGAGUUUUUCCUGUAACAGUUGAUUAUCAUGACUGGUAAAUUAAAAAAACGAAACUUUGAUAUGAAUUGUGGUUAAUUUGCUUUUUAUGUUGGUUGGAUUGUCUAAAAUGCAAUUGGGUUGCGUGUUGGAUGUUUGGAGGGUUCGAUACACAGCUGAGGCAACAUGUUUAGUCUGUCUGAGCAACAUACAUUAGAAGUUGGUAUCAGAUUUUUGUGUCCAUUCUUCACAAAGUUUCUUUUUUUUUGUUCGAUUCUUUGUGAUAUUUAUUUCUUGCUUUUCAAUGGUAAGGAGGAGGAAAAUACAAUAUGCAAGAGUCAGCAAAUGAUUCUGUGAGCUCCAAUAUUUAUGCUAAUGUAUUCUGACUUACCUACUUCUUCCAAGUUUUUGUUUCCCUUUUUUUUUCUUUCCAUUUUUGGAUUAAUUUGUUUUCUAGAACUCAAAUUGGGGAUGCUGUUCAAAUUCACAAAACUUAAAUCAUUCAUUUUUAACCAUGUUUUGUAGGUGUUUGCCCAUUGUUCUUCUUCUAAUGUUUCGUGAAACAUUUCGAGUACUCUACAGUUCAAGUCCUGGUCACCUAAGCAGGUGGACCUGAAUACCAAGUAUGACUCGUAACAAUUUAUCGUUAGAAUGAUUCUUUCACGACCACGAUGAUUCAAUGGUGUUAAGAGAUUUGACUGCUGGUAUAUACUAUGGAGAGAAUUUGGAUGAUAUCUUGGAUAAUUUAUUUUUAGUAAAUACGACAACUAAAAUGGAUUGAAGCAUUGUAUGCUUAUUUUAUCACCAUGAACUUCAUUGUGGGGUUGUCUUAUACUUUCAAAGGUGUUGAUAGUAUUUAGGUCAUUAUUAAUCGAUUGAUCAAAUCAGCACACUUUUUCUUUGUUCAUACUUCCUCUGGUGCUAAGAGAUUUACAUUACCUUCUCACCUUUUAUUACGAAUUGUUUUUAUAUUGUAUUUUGUUGAUAUUUAAAAUUUCUCAUUGUAUCCAAACAAAAGAAA